rnacentral:rRNA from 1 species
GACGAACGCUGGCGGCGUGCCUAACACAUGCAAGUCGAACGGAACUUACCGAAUGAAGCUUUCGGGUGGAUUUUGAUAAGUUUAGUGGCGGACGGGUGAGUAACGCGUGAGUAACCUGCCUUCAAGAGGGGAAUAACGUUCUGAAAAGAACGCUAAUACCGCAUAACAUACGGAUGUCGCAUGGCAACCGUAUCAAAGAUUUUAUCGCUUGAAGAUGGACUCGCGUCCGAUUAGCUUGUUGGCGGGGUAACGGCCCACCAAGGCAUCGAUCAGUAGGGGUUCUGAGAGGAAGGUCCCCCACAUAGGAACUGAGACACGGUCCUA